rfam:Acetomicrobium mobile DSM 13181 chromosome, complete genome.
GGCUCAGUUCCAUGCGGCGAUGUCCUGUGAAACCCGCCAGGCCCGGAAGGGAGCAACGGUAAGCAGUGUACAUCGGGUGCCAUGGAAAAGCUGGGUCGAA